CCAUUAAACGGACCGACCCAGCCAGUCAAGCGUAUCAGAUCAAAAAGAGGUAAUACCCUUACCACAUUCAUUUUCCUCACGCCAAACAUGACCUAAACUCUCCCUCUCUCCUCCUCUUUCCCUUUUCCCCUAAACCCUAGGCGCCAACACGCAUAUGUUUCUCUCUUCCAGGCAAGAAUGGCAAAAACUCAAAGCUCACAGAGUUUUCUCAGACUUUGUACAGCUAAUAACGUGAAACAAUUAAUGUUUCAACCUUGUUUCACUCAAACUCAUCCAAACACAGCGGUGAUCAUCCCCUCUUUUACUUUUCCUUUUAUUUUUUCUGAAUCAAAACACGAUUUUCUUUAUUGUAUUGUUAUAUUGUGACCGCAUGAACUCGUUUUCAUUGGUUCAUAAGGGAUUGGCUCAGAUCGACCUAAAAUGGGUCAAAUCUGACCGUAUACGUUUGUUGUCUUUAGAUCCUGAUCGUUGAUUUCAUGUAUUGAAGGUUAAUUUCUGGAAAAAAUCAUCUUGUACGACAUCGACAUUUUAGGUCUUUGAAUGAAUUUUGGGAUUCUAUGAAUAGAACCCUAACCCUCACCAUUAAAACAAGUUUCCACAACCCAAAAGACUGGAAUUUUAAGUUCAACUUGAAAUUUAAGCUGAAUAGUAUAAUUUUAGACUUAAACUUUUUAAGGGUUGAGUCUCUCAUUUUCUAAAUUUUGUUUACUUUAUCUGUGUGGCUGAGUUUGGGAUUGGAAGCAUCAAAAGCUCCAAAUUCAUUUCUUGACACAGGCUGCACGCAAAAAGACAUGGACACUGGGGCGGAGUCAUAUGCCAACCUAUUGGGCCGAGGCCCAACAAGCAAUUCUUUCGUGUCAUGAUCAAGCCCAUCAAAGAAUAUGGAAGCUAUUAUAUAUUAAACGCGUAGAAGGCCUAGCCAUGGGUGAAAAUGGCCAACUAGGGGCUUGGUAUGCCUCUAGCCUUCCCUUCUCCAUUCAUUUUAUUUUCCGUUUGUUUCUUUAUUUGUGCAAUUCUUGUGUAUUUGUAUUUUGUAAAACUUGUAAAAAAACUCUAUUAUAGUGGAAUCUUUAUGUUUUGAA